rnacentral:rRNA from 1 species
AGAGUUUGAUCAUGGCUCAGAUUGAACGCUGGCGGCAGGCCUAACACAUGCAAGUCGAGCGGUAGCACAGAGAGCUUGCUCUCGGGUGACGAGCGGCGGACGGGUGAGUAAUGUCUGGGAAACUGCCUGAUGGAGGGGGAUAACUACUGGAAACGGUAGCUAAUACCGCAUAACGUCGCAAGACCAAAGUGGGGGACCUUCGGGCCUCAUGCCAUCAGAUGUGCCCAGAUGGGAUUAGCUGGUAGGUGGGGUAACGGCUCACCUAGGCGACGAUCCCUAGCUGGUCUGAGAGGAUGACCAGCCACACUGGAACUGAGACACGGUCCAGACUCCUACGGGAGGCAGCAGUGGGGAAUAUUGCACAAUGGGCGCAAGCCUGAUGCAGCCAUGCCGCGUGUGUGAAGAAGGCCUUCGGGUUGUAAAGCACUUUCAGCGGGGAGGAAGGCGGUGAGGUUAAUAACCUCAUCGAUUGACGUUACCCGCAGAAGAAGCACCGGCUAACUCCGUGCCAGCAGCCGCGGUAAUACGGAGGGUGCAAGCGUUAAUCGGAAUUACUGGGCGUAAAGCGCACGCAGGCGGUCUGUCAAGUCGGAUGUGAAAUCCCCGGGCUCAACCUGGGAACUGCAUUCGAAACUGGCAGGCUAGAGUCUUGUAGAGGGGGGUAGAAUUCCAGGUGUAGCGGUGAAAUGCGUAGAGAUCUGGAGGAAUACCGGUGGCGAAGGCGGCCCCCUGGACAAAGACUGACGCUCAGGUGCGAAAGCGUGGGGAGCAAACAGGAUUAGAUACCCUGGUAGUCCACGCUGUAAACGAUGUCGAUUUGGAGGUUGUGCCCUUGAGGCGUGGCUUCCGGAGCUAACGCGUUAAAUCGACCGCCUGGGGAGUACGGCCGCAAGGUUAAAACUCAAAUGAAUUGACGGGGGCCCGCACAAGCGGUGGAGCAUGUGGUUUAAUUCGAUGCAACGCGAAGAACCUUACCUGGUCUUGACAUCCACAGAACUUAGCAGAGAUGCUUUGGUGCCUUCGGGAACUGUGAGACAGGUGCUGCAUGGCUGUCGUCAGCUCGUGUUGUGAAAUGUUGGGUUAAGUCCCGCAACGAGCGCAACCCUUAUCCUUUGUUGCCAGCGGUUAGGCCGGGAACUCAAAGGAGACUGCCAGUGAUAAACUGGAGGAAGGUGGGGAUGACGUCAAGUCAUCAUGGCCCUUACGACCAGGGCUACACACGUGCUACAAUGGCAUAUACAAAGAGAAGCGACCUCGCGAGAGCAAGCGGACCUCAUAAAGUAUGUCGUAGUCCGGAUUGGAGUCUGCAACUCGACUCCAUGAAGUCGGAAUCGCUAGUAAUCGUAGAUCAGAAUGCUACGGUGAAUACGUUCCCGGGCCUUGUACACACCGCCCGUCACACCAUGGGAGUGGGUUGCAAAAGAAGUAGGUAGCUUAACCUUCGGGAGGGCGCUUACCACUUUGUGAUUCAUGACUGGGGUGAAGUCGUAACAAGGUAACCGUAGGGGAACCUGCGGUUGGAUCACCUCCUU